rnacentral:rRNA from 1 species
UACAGAGGUCCCAAGCGUUGUUCGGAUUCACUGGGCGUAAAGGGUGCGUAGGUGGCCAGGUAAGUUUGGUGUGAAAGCUCGGAGCUUAACUCCGAAAUGUCAUUGAAUACUAUCUGGCUGGAGGGUCGGAGGGGAGACUGGAAUUCUCGGUGUAGCAGUGAAAUGCGUAGAUAUCGGGAGGAACAUCCGUGGCGAAGGCGGCUACCUGGACCAGCACUGACACUGAGGCACGAAAGCGUGGGGAGCAAACAGG